rnacentral:rRNA from 1 species
GAUCCCUUCGGGGAUAGUGGCAGACGGGUGAGUAACGCGUGGGAACCUACCUUUAGGUACGGAACAACAGUUGGAAACGACUGCUAAUACCGUAUGUGCCCUAUGGGGGAAAGAUUUAUCGCCUAAGGAUGGGCCCGCGUUGGAUUAGCUAGUUGGUGGGGUAAUGGCCUACCAAGGCGACGAUCCAUAGCUGGUCUGAGAGGAUGAUCAGCCACACUGGGACUGAGACACGGCCCAGACUCCUACGGGAGGCAGCAGUGGGGAAUAUUGGACAAUGGGGGCAACCCUGAUCCAGCCAUGCCGCGUGAGUGAUGAAGGCCCUAGGGUUGUAAAGCUCUUUCAGCGAGGAGGAUAAUGACGUUACUCGCAGAAGAAGCCCCGGCUAACUUCGUGCCAGCAGCCGCGGUAAUACGAAGGGGGCUAGCGUUGUUCGGAAUCACUGGGCGUAAAGCGCACGUAGGCGGACUUUUAAGUCAGGGGUGAAAUCCCGGGGCUCAACCUCGGAACUGCCUUUGAUACUGGAAGUCUUGAGUCCGAGAGAGGUGAGUGGAACUCCGAGUGUAGAGGUGAAAUUCGUAGAUAUUCGGAAGAACACCAGUGGCGAAGGCGGCUCACUGGCUCGGUACUGAC